UCCGUGGCGGGCCACCAUCCUCCAAAGGUCUAUGUAUGCUGUGCCCCUGACAAUACUGCCCUAGGUGGGGCACCGGCCAGGAGCCAGGGUUGACCUCUACAAGCAGCAAAACACAAAAUUUGCAGAACAAUGUAACCCCUGCUUUGAGUGGAUACAAUGAUGCAGAGACUUGGAACUGGAAGUGUGCAGCUUUUCUACAGGACCCCAAACCCAACAACCUUGGGAAGGCUGUGCUUCAAGUCCAACCCCUGUAGCCAUCAUCUGGGGGAGCAUCUAGAGAUGUGUCCUGGCAACUGCAUUUUCGGGUACUGCAGUCACACCACUGAAGACCCACAAAACAAAGUUAUCACCCAAGCUUUUGUCACUGUCAGACAAUUCAACAACAGAAAUACAUGAUUUCAUUCAUGGAAAUGAUAUUAAAGAAGAGGCAUUAUCAUCUGCUUUGCUGCUGCACUCUAAGAACCACAUCUGACAUGGAAAUGAAAUCUUCUGUCUGUUACCUCUCCCAUUGGAAUAUGAGCUCUUUGAGAUCAAAGACUGUCUUACUUUGGAGAUAUUUGUAUACUCAACACUUAGCACUGUACCUUGGGCAUAGUAAAUGAUCAAUAAAUGCUUUUUCAUUCAUUCAUUCUUUUCAGAGGUGAGGGUCUAUGGUUGUGGAACAUUGU